rnacentral:tRNA from 1 species
GUCCCUGUCGAUUAGUGGUUAAAUCAUCACGUUGUGGUUAACGUCAUUCCGUGAAGCCGGGAGCUCGAAUCUCCCCAGGGACA